AGAAAGACCGUGGCAGUUAAGAAUAACUGGUCACUGCAGUGUCUUCUCCCUUCAAAAGAUCCAACUGAUGCUGAGGUAGAAAUUGAAUGUCGGCGCCCCCUAAUCCUCCUCUGCGGACUCUUGCGAGGAUGUCUCUUCAGUCUCCUGCAACACACGGAAGGCAGGUUGUCUGUCAUGUAAACAGCCUCGAAAACCACCCUUGAAGUUUCUGUGAAAACAUUCAACAUCUUGGAAGGGGUGAGCGCCACAGGACAACGGGGUUUCCCAGGAUUCCCUCGCCCCUGCGCCACACCACACGUGGAAGAUCCCCACAGAUGGAUACACAGGACAAAGCCCAGGGAUGGCCAGAAGGAAACACUCAGAGGCUCAUGUAUGGCUGCCAUCACAUAGAUAGGAGUCCAGAGGACAACCUGUGGGGAUUGGUUCUCUUUUACCAUGUGGGUUCCAUGGGACUCGGACUGUCCAUCUUGACAGCAAGUAGCCUUUAUUCACCAGCUACAUGCAUUGCCAGCCCUCUUUCUGAGACAGGGACUUUCAGUCAGCUUGGAGCUCACUUAUUUGGCUGGGCUGGCUGAUCGGCCCAUUCCAGGAAUCCAUCCAUCUCUGCCUGCCCAGCGAGGAGUUAGGGUCGUGAGCCAACAUACCUGGCUUCUAUGUGAUGCUACUGGCCCUGAAGCUGGGACCUACCUAAGCUUGUGCUUCAGUUGCCUUAUUCACCAACCCAUCUCCCUGGACUCCACUCCAAACUUCUAAAAUUCAGCUCAUGAAGAAAAUAACCUUCACCAUCGCCACCAAGAGCAGCAUCGAGAAACUUAGAAGAAAUGCUUUGUAUUAAUGGGACAUGAUCCUAUCAAGACAAGGAGGAACCUCUCUAACCUUCAGUGUACUGCUGCACAGGAUGAAGAUGCUGGCCUUCUCUACGGAUGCUGUACAGGUUCCCGUACAGCCCAUCCAUCUCUAUCUUCCCACUGUUCUCCCCUCACUCCCAUGGCUCCCUACUAAGGAAAUUCAUACAUUUCUUGCCUUUAAUCCCUUGUCCUGAGUGGUCUCUGUGCUCACCGCCUGAUGCCGUUGGGACUGUGACCACCCACGAUACUCAAUUUUCACCCAUGGUACAUUGCUUCGCUACACGGAAGAAGUUAUUUAGAACAGCUCAUUUCGAGCCUGCUUAUACAUACAAUGUUUAUGCAUAUUUACAUCAAGGCAUGAUUACUAGUCAGAGAUCUCAAUGCUGAGCAUUUCUUGCCCAGCUGGAGAGAGCGCUACGUUCACAGCUCAAAACAAUCCACGCCCCUAGUGCAGAAUGAGAUUGGCCGCAGAGACUCGGUCCAGCCACCUGACCCAGCCUGACACAUUUUUGUCUUCUGUAUGGAACACAUUUUCAGAAAGGUUUCUAUGUAAUGUCUAAAUCCUCUCAUUGCCUGGAAGAAAAUUUUUCUUCUCCAAAGCAAAAAAGCCAAACCUCUGUGGCCUGAAAUGUCCAAACGUUGAGAUAAAAUAACAUUUUCUUCUUUUUAACUUGAUUCCCUCAGGUAUUCUGUUAUUGUAAUAGAAAGCUAACACACUUUUUAGAUAUGAUUUUAUCUUUUAUAUAUCUCUUUAUCUUUUUUCUUAUAAGUCAGUUCAUGUGAUGAAAGCUAACAAGAAUUAAACCAAGAUAUAAGAACCUAGAUAAUGAGUUCUGAUGAGUCUCAAGUAAAUCAAAGAAAAUGACUGUAGGCUUUUAGGAAUACAAGGAGACCCCAACUCCAACUGACUAGCAAGGAUAUAAGUUUUUGAAUAUAGCCAGCGCCGUGAUGAUACACCUUCCACAGUGGUAAAUUCUGGGAGUCAAAAGUUGCUCAGAGUCCGUCUUUCUACCCUGUUAUCUUACGUCCCCCUCCCUUCUCCCCCUCCGUCCCUCCCUCUCAGAACCACAAGAGUGAGAGGUGUUGAUUUAGUAAUGAAAUGUUCAGCCAAACAGUGGUUCCCAACCUUCCUAAUGCUGCGGCCCUUUAAUACGUUCCUCAUGUUGUGGUGAUGCCCCCAACCAUAAAAUUAUUUUUGUUAUUUCAUAACUGUCAUAUUGCUACUGUUAUGAAUCCUAAUAUAAAGGUUUGAUGUGCAGGGUAUCUGACAUGAAGCCCUCUGUGAAUGAGUCAUUUGACAGCCCCACCACCACCACCACCACCACCACCACCACCACCACCACCACAAAGGAGUCAAGACCCACUAAGCCAGAGGACGAAAACAAACAAGCAAGCAAGCAACACUAACACACUCUUCCUUCAUGCUGAGCAAAUUUCCCUGUCAGGUAACUGGACCAGUUCCAGCAAGUUAACCCAUCCCCGAUUCUUGGAAAAAGAUCACUUUGUGUCACCAAACCAAAUGACAAUAAGGAAGGGAGACAGAGUGCCAAUGGAGUUUGGCUUCAGUUAAUUUGGCUUCCACUGUGCUGGCCUGCCCGUGGUGGCUGAUGGGAACCCCUUCCUGGCUCUGAAAUCAACUCGCACAGACUUUCCCUUGGAUGUUGCCUUGCUCUGUCCGAUGAGGCAGCAGCACAGUCCCUCUUUCUACAAUGUACAGGCAUUACCUGCUUUACCUUACGGUGAGAUGGCUCUCCUGGCUCGUCUGAGCUAUCCCUGGAAACUGCUGAGUGCAUUCACUUGGUCACGGACUGAAGAGUGAAGGAAGCCAUUCCUGACACCCAGUGAGUGACAGUGCCACUGCUGCCUAAAUACUGGCUGUGACUCAUUGUCCCCUUCAAGGAAUCCCAGAGAUGAUGGGUAGUAAAUAGAUAAAUAAUGCUAGCCACACUCAAUCUGACAGUGCCGCCAGGCUUUUCCUGGGAGCCAACCGGAGUUCUGCUCAGUUACACUGAAGAGCAGAACCCCAGGGCGCGCAGGGGCCCCUCCGAGAGGGCAAUAACCGCUCUCUUUGUUUUAGGAUGCUCUUCCGACUCCCUGUCAGUUCCGCCAGGAGGAUCCCAACUAUAUGAACAAGCUGUCUGUUGAAAUGAGAUGCUUGUCUCCCUACAGAUGCAGUGGUGUAAAGUCCUUGGCUCUAGAUAACACGCUUUGGUAUGUCUGGGCUUGCUGCCACCUAUGUGUAUGCACCUCUGAUCUUGGGAGGGAAUGUCACUGCUGUAACAUUUUUUUUUUAAAUAAAUUUGCUCUUUCAGGA
rnacentral:lncRNA from 1 species